rnacentral:lncRNA from 1 species
ACACAGAGGCCGCCCGCCAAGUAUGGUGCCAUUCCGAGUCCCGCGGACGAACUUCGCCCACGCCCCCCACCAAGGCUAUAGCCCACGCGUUUUUUGGCCUUUUUUCCGCUGGGGGGUCUUGGGACCCCGACCUUCGGGGGCUGAUUUUUGGGCGCGGCUGUGCCCGUGGCCUAUUUUUGGCACACCGAGGCCGCCCGCCAAGUAUGGUGCCAUUCCGAGUCCCGCGGACGAACUUCGCCCACGUCCCCCACCAAAGCUAUAGCCCACGCGUUUUUUGGCCAUUUUUCCGCUGGGGGGUAUUGGGACCCCGACCUUCGGGGGCUGAUUUUUGGGCGCGGCUGUGCCCGUGGCCUAUUUUUGGCACACAGAGGCCGCCCGCCAAGUAUGGUGCCAUUCCGAGUCCCGCGGACGAACUUCGCCCACGCCCCCCACCAAGGCUAUAGCGCACCCGUUUUUUGGCCAUUUUUCCGCCGGGGGGUCUUGGGACCCCGACCUUCGGGGGCUGAUUUUUGGGCGCGGCUGUGCCCGUGGCCUAUUUUUAGCACACGGAGGCCGCCCGCCAAGUAUGGUGCCAUUCCGAGUCCCGCGGACGAACUUCGCCCACGCCCCCCACCAAGGCUAUAGCCCACGCGUUUUUUGACCAUUUUUCCGCUGGGGGGUCUUGGGACCCCGACCUUCGGGGGCUGAUUUUUGGGCGCGGCUGUGCCCGUGGCCUAUUUUUGGCACACCGAGGCCGCCCGCCAAGUAUGGUGCCAUUCCGAGUCCCGCGGACGAACUUCGCCCACGCCCCCCACCAAGGCUAUAGCCCACGCGUUUUUUGACCAUUUUUCCGCUGGGGGGUCUUGGGACCCCGACGUUCGGGGGCUGAUUUUUGGGCGCGGCUGUGCCCGUGGCCUAUUUUUGGCACACGGAGGCCGCCCGCCAAGUAUGGUGCCAUUCCGAGUCCCACGGACGAACUUCGCCCACGCCCCCCACCAAGGCUAUAGCCCACGCGUUUUUUGGCCAUUUUUCCGCUGGGGGGUCUUGGGACCCCGACCUUCGGGGGCUGAUUUUUGGGCGCGGCUGUUCCCGUGGCCUAUUUUUGGCACACAGAGGCCGCCCGCCAAGUAUGGUGCCAUUCCGAGUCCCGCGGACGAACUUCGCCUACGCCCCCCACCAAGGCUAUAGCCCACCCUUUUUUUGGCCAUUUUUCCGCUGGGGGGUCUUGGGACCCCGACCUUCGGGGGCUGAUUUUUGGGCGCGGCUGUGCCCGUGGCCUAUUUUUGGCACACGGAGGCCGCCCGCCAAGUCUGGGGCCAUUCCGAGUCCCGCGGACGAACUUCGCCCACGCCCCCCACCAAGGCUAUAGCCCACCCUUUUUUUGGCCAUUUUUCCGCUGGGGGGUCUUGGGACCCCGACCUUCGGGGGCUGAUUUUUGGGCGCGGCUGUGCACGUGGCCUAUUUUUGGCACACAGAGGCCGCCCGCCAAGUAUGGUGCCAUUCCGAGUCCCGCGGACGAACUUCGCCCACGCCCCCCACCAAGGCUAUAGCCCACGCGUUUUUUGGCCAUUUUUCCGCUGGGGGGACUUGGGACCCCGACCUUCGGGGGCUGAUUUUUGGGCGCGGCUGUGCCCGUGGCCUAUUUUUGGCACACAGAGGCCGCCCGCCAAGUCUGGUGCCAUUCAGAGUCCCGCGGACGAACUUCGCCCACGCCCCCCACCAAGGCUAUAGCCCACGCGUUUUUUGGCCAUUUUUCCGCUGGGGGGUCUUGGGACCCCGACCUUCGGGGGCUGAUUUUUGGGCGCGGCUGUGCCCGUGGCCUAUUUUUGGCACACGGAGGCCGCCCGCCAAGUAUGGUGCCAUUCCGAGUCCCGCGGACGAACUUCGCCCACGCCCCCCACCAAGGCUAUAGCCCACCCGUUUUUUGGCCAUUUUUCCGCUGGGGGGUCUUGGGACCCCGACCUUCGGGGGCUGAUUUUUGGGCGCGGCUGUGCCCGUGGCCUAUUUUUGGCACACAGAGGCCGCCCGCCUAGUAUGGUGCCAUUCCGAGUCCCGCGGACGAACUUCGCCCACGCCCCCCACCAAGGCUAUAGCCCACCCGUUUUUUGGCCAUUUUUCCGCUGGGGGGUCUUGGGACCCCGACCUUCGGGGGCUGAUUUUUGGGCGCGGCUGUGCCCGUGGCCUAUUUUUGGCACACAGAGGCCGCCCGCCAAGUAUGGUGCCAUUCCGAGUCCCGCGGACGAACUUCGCCCACGCCCCCCACCAAGGCUAUAGCCCACCCGUUUCUUGGCCAUUUUUCCGCUGGGGGGUCUUGGGACCCCGACCUUCGGGGGCUGAUUUUUGGGCGCGGCUGUGCCCGUGGCCUAUUUUUGGCACACCGAGGCCGCCCGCCAAGUAUGGUGCCAUUCCGAGUCCCGCGGACGAACUUCGCCCACGCCCCCCACCAAGGCUAUAGCCCACGCGUUUUUUGGCCAUUUUUCCGCUGGGGGGUCUUGGGACCCCGACCUUCGGGGGCUGAUUUUUGGGCGCGGCUGUGCCCGUGGCCUAUUUUUGGCACACAGAGGCCGCCCGCCAAGUAUGGUGCCAUUCCGAGUCCCGCGGACGAACUUCGCCCACGCCCCCCACCAAGGCUAUAGCGCACCCGUUUUUUGGCCAUUUUUCCGCCGGGGGGUCUUGGGACCCCGACCUUCGGGGGCUGAUUUUUGGGCGCGGCUGUGCCCGUGGCCUAUUUUUAGCACACGGAGGCCGCCCGCCAAGUAUGGUGCCAUUCCGAGUCCCGCGGACGAACUUCGCCCACGCCCCCCACCAAGGCUAUAGCCCACGCGUUUUUUGACCAUUUUUCCGCUGGGGGGUCUUGGGACCCCGACCUUCGGGGGCUGAUUUUUGGGCGCGGCUGUGCCCGUGGCCUAUUUUUGGCACACCGAGGCCGCCCGCCAAGUAUGGUGCCAUUCCGAGUCCCGCGGACGAACUUCGCCCACGCCCCCCACCAAGGCUAUAGCCCACGCGUUUUUUGACCAUUUUUCCGCUGGGGGGUCUUGGGACCCCGACGUUCGGGGGCUGAUUUUUGGGCGCGGCUGUGCCCGUGGCCUAUUUUUGGCACACGGAGGCCGCCCGCCAAGUAUGGUGCCAUUCCGAGUCCCACGGACGAACUUCGCCCACGCCCCCCACCAAGGCUAUAGCCCACGCGUUUUUUGGCCAUUUUUCCGCUGGGGGGUCUUGGGACCCCGACCUUCGGGGGCUGAUUUUUGGGCGCGGCUGUGCCCGUGGCCUAUUUUUGGCACACGGAGGCCGCCCGCCAAGUAUGGUGCCAUUCUGAGUCCCGCGGACGAACUUCGCCCACGCCCCCCACCAAGGCUAUAGCCCACCCGUUUUUUGGCCAUUUUUCCGCUGGGGGGUCUUUGGACCCCGACCUUCGGGGGCUGAUUUUUGGGCGCGGCUGUGCCCGUGGCCUAUUUUUGGCACACAGAGGCCGCCCGCCUAGUAUGGUGCCAUUCCGAGUCCCGCGGACGAACUUCGCCCACGCCCCCCACCAAGGCUAUAGCCCACGCGUUUUUUGGCCUUUUUUCCGCUGGGGGGUCUUGGGACCCCGACCUUCGGGGGCUGAUUUUUGGGCGCGGCUGUGCCCGUGGCCUAUUUUUGGCACACAGAGGCCGCCCGCCAAGUAUGGUGCCAUUCCGAGUCCCGCGGACGAACUUCGCCCACGCCCCCCACCAAGGCUAUAGCCCACGCGUUUUUUGGCCAUUUUUCCGCUGGGGGGUUUUGGGACCCCGACCUUCGGGGGCUGAUUUUUGGGCGUGGCUGUGCCCGUGGCCUAUUUUUGGCACACGGAGGCCGCCCGCCAAGUAUGGUGCCAUUCCGAGUCCCGCGGACGAACUUCGCCCACGCCCCCCACCAAGGCUAUAGCCCACCCGUUUUUUGGCCAUUUUUCCGCUGGGGGGUCUUGGGACCCCGACCUUCGGGGGCUGAUUUUUGGGCGCGGCUGUGCCCGUGGCCUAUUUUUGGCACACAGAGGCCGCCCGCCAAGUAUGGUGCCAUUCCGAGUCCCGCGGACGAACUUCGCCCACGCCCCCCACCAAGGCUAUAGCCCACGCGUUUUUUGGCCUUUUUUCCGCUGGGGGGUCUUGGGACCCCGAUCUUCGGGGGCUGAUUUUUGGGCGCGGCUGUGCCCGUGGCCUAUUUUUCGCAAACAGAGGCCGCCCGCCAAGUAUGGUGCCAUUCCGAGUCCCGCGGACGAACUUCGCCCACGCCCCCCACCAAGGCUAUAGCCCACGCGUUUUUUGGCCAUUUUUCCGCUGGGGGGUCUUGGGACCCCGACCUUCGGGGGCUGAUUUUUGGGCGCGGCUGUGCCCGUGGCCUAUUUUUGGAACACCGAGGCCGCCCGCCAAGUGUGGUGCCAUUCCGAGUCCCGCGGACGAACUUCGCCCACGCCCCCCACCAAGGCUAUAGCCCAUGCGUUUUUUGGCCUUUUUUCCGCUGGGGGGUCUUGGGACCCCGACCUUCGGGGGCUGAUUUUUGGGCGCGGCUGUGCCCGUGGCCUAUUUUUGGCACACAGAGGCCGCCCGCCAAGUAUGGUGCCAUUCCGAGUCCCGCGGACGAACUUCGCCCACGCCCCCCACCAAGGCUAUAGCCCACGCGUUUUUUGGCCAUUUUUCCGCUGGGGGGUCUUGGGACCCCGACCUUCGGGGGCUGAUUUUUGGGCGCGGCUGUGUCCGUGGCCUAUUUUUGGCACACAGAGGCCGCCCGCCAAGUAUGGUGCCAUUCCGAGUCCCGCGGACGAACUUCGCCCACGCCCCCCACCAAGGCUAUAGCCCACCCGUUUUUUGGCCAUUUUUCCGCUGGGGGGUCUUGGGACCCCGACCUUCGGGGGCUGAUUUUUGGGCGCGGCUGUGCCCGUGGCCUAUUUUUGGCACACAGAGGCCGCCCGCCAAGUAUGGUGCCAUUCCGAGUCCCGCGGACGAACUUCGCCCACGCCCCCCACCAAGGCUAUAGCCCACGCGUUUUUUGGCCAUUUUUCCGCUGGGGGGUCUUGGGACCCCGACCUUCGGGGGCUGAUUUUUGGGCGCGGCUGUGCCCGUGGCCUAUUUUUGGCACACGCAGGCCGCCCGCCAAGUAUGGUGCAAUUCCGAGUCCCGCGGACGAACUUCGCCCACGCCUCCCACCAAGGCUAUAGCCCACCCCGUUUUUGGCCAUUUUUCCGC